GAAUGUGAGGGCAACCUGGCUGCAACAUCUGUCACCCCUUCCAUCAUCAGGGUUGAUUUGGCUGAUCCGGCUGGCUAGGCAGAUGUUCCCUUCCUCCCUCACUGCUACAUGUGUGUCCCUCCCGAAGCUGCGUGCUGGUCGAAGAGGACGACCUUCCCCAAUAGAGGAGGACCAUUCUUCAGUCAAGGGUGUACAAGUAGCUGUGCUCCUCUGCUAGAAUCUCCAAACAAACUCUCAGGAUGGUAGAUUUUAUUUAUUAAAGAAAUCUAUUCUGCUUUUGGGAAAAUGGAAUUAGGUAUCUAAAUGAACAGGUUCUGUCUCUCUUU
rnacentral:snRNA from 1 species